CAGAAGUUUUUAAUUUCGUUAUCCGUUCGACCAGGCAGAUUCGCGGCAAUGGCUGACCACCUGCAGGCCUCAGGUAGUUUAUCCAACGGAGUCUGCAACUCUUCCCGCAUCGCAGAAGGCCUAAAGAAAGAAAAUGCAGAAAGAGAUUAUAUCAAAAGGAACUCACCAGCAAGCUUGGGAAGGGCACGCCAGUUGCUAUGGCCAUGUUCAUUGAUAUAAGAGAUCAAAAUCUGAUCUUCUUCAGCUGUCCA